rnacentral:lncRNA from 1 species
UCCAUUUGGAUUCAGGGUCAGGCCCCUCCUCCGGGAGUGGUUCCUCGCAAUCUUUCGAUUUGAGAAACAUGAUGUCCUCAUCAGGAAAGUUGAACCUCAUAGGUUGGUAAUCAUCAAUCGGUUACCUCGCAAUCUUUCGAUUUGAGAAACAUGAUGUCCUCAUCAGGAAAGUUGAACCUCAUAGGUUGGUAAUCAUCAAUCGGUUGCUCUGCAAGAUAGUCUGACAAGACACUUCCUUUGAUGGCUUUUUG